AUCUACGGCCGUGCCGCCCUGAAUGUGUCCGAUCCCGUUUGAUCUCGGAAGCUAAGCAGGGUCAGGCCCGGUUAGUACUUGGAUGCAAGACCACUUAGGAAGACCAGGUGCUGUAGACA
rnacentral:rRNA from 1 species